UUUUUUUUUUUUUUUUUUUGCAAGAGACAGAAUUAAACCACAUGCUUUCUGGGAAGCCAUAUUAGAUGAAUUAAGUUGAGAAGAUCAGAACAUUUCCCAAGGUUACAUGCGGAAGUCCACACGACUUGAACUCGCCUCCUGAGUCUGGGUCACCUUGAUGAGUGCCAAGAUCAUGAAGCCGGACCGUGCUGAGCUGGGGGUGAAGAACGGUUCCCACAACAACGACAAUGACAACCAUCAUCACCACCACAAAACCCAACAAGGUAGAUGGUACUCUUAACUGGAGCUGACUGAAAAAUCUCCGAAUUCGAAUGCAAAGUGUGAAAAGGCAAGACGACCAGUAACGUUAUCUUUCGAAAAGCAGGGGGUAAGAAAGCUUUUAACAUAGUUGGAGAGCUCCCAACUAGAUAAAACAGCAGGUUAUGCUAUAUUAAGAUGUGCUUGGCACCCAGGGAGAAGGGAAAGUCAAUGGUUACAUCUCUAACGGACGAAAUGGUAUCCACGGCAGGAGAUAAAAAAAACAACCCAACCGCUCGGUCCGUUAAUCCAAAGUUGGGAAGACCGAAUCCAAGAGAGCUGAGAGCACAAUCACAAAUCACUUUCAAGAGCCAGAUGUGUUGUUUUCCUCAAAUGGGUUUCAUUAGAAAUGAAGUCACACACACACACACACACACACACACACACACACGCGUGCGCACACACACACACACACACUUAAGAGGAAGCAAGAUCGAUCUGGGUAAAU